GCCUCCGCGUUCCAGUGAGAAUGCCCUUAAAAUCAUUAGCGAUCUAAAGGAGCAGGUAUCAAGCACACUUUUAAGUAGCUCAUAACACCUU
rnacentral:rRNA from 1 species